CCUACGGGUGGCAGCAGUGAGGAAUAUUGGUCAAUGGGCGAGAGCCUGAACCAGCCAAGUCGCGUGAAGGAUGACGGCCCUACGGGUUGUAAACUUCUUUUGUCAGGGAGCAAUUGAGUCCACGUGUGGGCUUAGCGAGAGUACCUGAAGAAAAAGCAUCGGCUAACUCCGUGCCAGCAGCCGCGGUAAUACGUAGGUGGCAAGCGUUGUCCGGAAUUACUGGGUGUAAAGGGAGCGUAGGCGGGAAGCCAAGUCAGCUGUGAAAACUACGGGCUUAACCUGUAGACUGCAGUUGAAACUGGCUUUCUUGAGUGAAGUAGAGGUUGGCGGAAUUCCUAGUGUAGCGGUGAAAUGCGUAGAUAUUCGGAGGAACACCGGUGGCGAAGGCGGCCAACUGGGCUUUAACUGACGCUGAGGCUCGAAAGUGUGGGGAGCAAACAGGAUUAGAUACCCCAGUAGUC
rnacentral:rRNA from 1 species